rnacentral:ncRNA from 1 species
CAAUUAAGGCUUGAGUGAGUCUUCCAGCGGGUGACGCUUACGAGAAGCCUUUGUGGCCCCGCAAGGGGUCACCUGCCGCGACUGUAAAUAAUGGGGCGGGUAUUAAAUCGCAAGUCGGCUCCGGCCGGCAACACUUUCGAAUUGCGGGGACACCCUUAAGCCCACCUCUACCAACCGGUCAGGGAAACCUGCCCGGGGCCGCUGCUAACAGCAGCGGGUACGGUCAGAAGGAGGUGGGAUUGGGCAAUCCGCAGCCAAAUCCCUAAGGCGCUCAGCGCUACGGGAGAGGUUCACAGACUAGGUGGAAGUGGGCCGCUCUGCGCGGCUUAAGAUAUAGUCGGGCCCCUUGCGAGAGCUUGGGGGAGUCACUG